AUCGCCGUGUGUUUUGUAUACUGGAGCGCGAUAAAGGAACACUAUCGAAAACAGACUAGGACUGGCUGUGAAGAAGACUGAACGUUAUUUGACAAGAUUAAAGAGCUAGAAACAGAGAAACUGAAGCUGGAGGAUGAACGCAUUAAGCAUGCAGAGAAAUGCCUGGGAGACAUCUUUAAAGAAAUGAACAAACAAUUUUGAGAGUUACACACACUUGAGAUGCGGUACGAUUGCCUUCUGCAAGAGUUUGAGCAGUUUCGUCAGAACCACCGCUACUGUAAUUCCAGAACUACCAGAAGAAGAAGUAAUACGGAGGGAGAAUUUAAAAAGCCGGGAUGAUUCUCGCUGGGUGAAGGUUUCACCUAUCCACACUCCUAACUUCUCAUUUUUUUCUGCCAGUGAUGAUCCUUUUAAACAUUUCAUACCAUGCAGAAAGGGUAUGUCCUAUAAUGUCUCCAGAAAUAUAAAUAUUUCCUUAUCUAUCGCAAGAUAUUAGAACGUUCUUCAAAACUAGUAAUUUAUUGUUUCCAAAUUAUUGCCUUAUGGCCUUCUUUCUGGUAUUUUUCUGAAUAUCUAAUACAUCUUGACAACUUUGUAUCCUAAUGAUUUAAGGCAUGUCAUUGAUCAGAGUUUUCUCUCAUAAGUCACACCUGUAAACAGUUGAAAACUGUAUGUGUUGUGCUCAAGAGCAGCAAAUAUUGCCAAAAUGUUCAGUAAAUAUACCAUAUUUAUAGCACAUAUUACAGGACAGAGCAUCCUUUAACUUCUGGAAAGCUCAAUCGAAGACAAAAAGGAAUUGAAAGGAAUUUGAUGAGCUUGAUGAAUACCCUUGCCUAUGACUAUUUGUGGCUUAGAUGUUAGUUGAAUCUAGAAUUUAGUUUAGACUUACCACAUUUACAAGGUCUUGAAAAAACCUGUAUUUACUCCAAAAAGGGUGAUUGGUUAAAGCUUAGGAAAAAAUGAGUAGGACAUACUUAAAGAACGUUUCUAAUAUCUUCAACUGGCCUGAGUUUCAAGUUUUGCUAGUUGAGACAUGGGACUUUCAAUAUACUUUUCUUGCUGAUAUUAUGUAACUAUAACCAGGACUUGGUUUUUCAGCAACACCCCAUUGCAGCUUCUCAGUCUGUGGUGGCCUUUGCACAACAUGUUUGGUAUGUCUCAUGUUGAUAAUAUUUGAAGUACUUUUGAUUCUUAUUUUUUUAUUAGCUUUUAAUUCUCAGAGUUUAUGAUUGUGUAAUUGGUAUCACAGUAUCGAUUU